rnacentral:misc_RNA from 1 species
GAUGAAGGAACGCAGCGAAAUGCGAUAAGUAAUGUGAAUUGCAGAAUUCAGUGAAUCAUCGAAUCUUUGAACGCACAUUGCGCCCCCUGGUAUUCCGGGGGGCAUGCCUGUUCGAGCGUCAUUUCACCACUCAAGCCUCGCUUGGUAUUGGGCAACGCGGUCCGCCGCGUGCCUCAAAUCGACCGGCUGGGUCUUCUGUCCCCUAAGCGUUGUGGAAACUAUUCGCUAAAGGGUGUUCGGGAGGCUACGCCGUAAAACAACCCCAUUUCUAAGGUUGACCUCGGAUCAGGUAGGGAUACCCGCUGAACUUAAGCAUAUCAAUAAGCGGAGGA